UACUCCUGUGUCUGUGAGAAUCAGGGCUACCGCUCAAUGCAAGCCAUUUCGAUCUACGGUGUCCACAGAUCGAUUUAUAAACUGGAAUCGGUACCAGAACCAAUACAUUUUUAGCAAAGAUUGCAUCUUUACAGAAAACGUGUUGUGAUUGGAGCUCUGGAUUUGCUAUGCUGCAUUUCUGAAACAAAAAUUGCAGAGAUGUGCUUUGGAAAUAGCAAUGUUUGCCUUUACGUGCCUUGUAUGAUGCAAUAUGUGCAAUAUGCAAUAUGGUGCAAAUUUAUGCUCAGAUAUGUCACCUUCAUGUGAAGAAGCACAAUGAUUUUCAGCGCCUGAACAGGUUGGAACCAACAUGCAGUACCUUCAGCAGGCAGAGAGGCAAGAACCAUUCGUCCACCAACUCAGGAGCAAGCUACACUAUUCACAGCCCUGUGUAAUGUUCAAUGUAAUUGCAUUGCUGGACUUUUUGUGACUUCAUGUAUUUGCAUUGUUUUAAAAAUGUCAAAAUAAAAGGAAAUGUAUGGUUUAAA